AUAGCGGUGAGGUUCCACCUCUUCCCAUUCCGAACAGAGAAGUUAAGCUCACCAGCGCCAAUGGUACUGCACACAAGCGGGAGAGUAGGUCGUCGCCGAUU
rnacentral:rRNA from 1 species